GGCAGCCUUCCAGUCCUUAACUGACGCUAAAGCUCGAAGGUGCGGGUAUCGAACAGGAUUAGAUACCCUGGUAGUCCGCACGGUAAACGAUGGAUGCCCGCUGUUGGCGAUAUAUUGUCAGCGGCCAAGCGAAAGCGUUAAGCAUCCCACCUGGGGAGUACGCCGGCAACGGUGAAACUCAAAGGAAUUGACGGGGGCCCGCACAAGCGGAGGAACAUGUGGUUUAAUUCGAUGAUACGCGAGGAACCUUACCCGGGCUUGAACUGCAGCGGAAGGAAACAGAGAUGUUGACGUCCUUCGGGACCGCUGUGGAGGUGCUGCAUGGUUGUCGUCAGCUCGUGCCGUGAGGUGUCGGCUUAAGUGCCAUAACGAGCGCAACCCUUUUCUCCAGUUGCCAGCAUGCGAUGGUGGGCACUCUGGAGACACUGCCACCGUAAGGUGUGAGGAAGGUGGGGAUGACGUCAAAUCAGCACGGCCCUUACGUCUGGGGCUACACACGUUUUACAAUGGGUGGUACAGAGAGCUGGUUGCCGGCAACGGCGAUCGAAUCCUCAAAGCCAUUCUCAGUUCGGAUUGGGGUCUGCAACCCGACCCCAUGAA
rnacentral:rRNA from 1 species